rnacentral:rRNA from 1 species
AGCGAACGCUGGCGGCAUGCCUAACACAUGCAAGUCGAACGGGGCAGCAAUGCCUAGUGGCGGACGGGUGAGGAAUACGUAGGAAUCUGCCCUUAAGUGGGGGAUAACCAGGGGAAACCCUGACUAAUACCGCAUGAUCUCUUCGGAGCAAAGAGGGGGACCGCAAGGCCUCUCGCUUCUGGAUGAGCCUACGUCUGAUUAGCUAGUUGGUAGGGUAAAGGCCUACCAAGGCGACGAUCAGUAACUGGUCUGAGAGGAUGAUCAGUCACACCGGAACUGAGACACGGUCCGGACUCCUACGGGAGGCAGCAGUGGGGAAUAUUGGACAAUGGGCGCAAGCCUGAUCCAGCAAUGCCGCGUGUGUGAAGAAGGCCUUCGGGUUGUAAAGCACUUUAGCCUGGAAAGAAAAAACUUUGGUUAACACCCAAAGUCUUGACGGUACCAGGAGAAUAAGCACCGGCUAACUCUGUGCCAGCCGCCGCGGUAAGAC